rnacentral:ncRNA from 1 species
GUCCGGAUUGGAUGAAGGGAUUAAAAGGGAACCGGGUGUAAGUCCCGGACAGUACCCGCUGCUGUGAGUCUCAUUACUGAAUUUAAGGAAUUCUAUGCCACUGGCUAUUGCUGGGAAGGCUCCUUAAAGAGACAAGUCAGAAGACCUGCCGGUGUGUUU